rnacentral:rRNA from 1 species
GACGUAGGGCGCGAGCGUUGUCCGGAUUUAUUGGGCGUAAAGAGCUCAUAGGCGGCUUGUUGCGUCGACCGUGAAAACCCGCGGCUUAACUGCGGGCUUGCGGUCGAUACGGGCGGGCUGGAGUUCGGUAGGGGAGACUGGAAUUCCUGGUGUAGCGGUGAAAUGCGCAGAUAUCAGGAGGAACACCGGUGGCGAAGGCGGCUUGCUGGGCCUUACCUGACGCUGAGGAGCGAAAGCGUGGGGAGCGAACAGG